rnacentral:lncRNA from 1 species
AUUCAAAUAUGUAAAAUCUUGAUUUACAUAUGGUUUAUUUUCUAAGAAAAAAAUAUAAUUUACUUGAAAAUAUUAGUUCAAUUUUAUUAAAUCAUGAAAGUUGAGAUUAAAUCGGUUAUUCAUUCGUAUCGAAUUGAGAUUGAAUAUAGCCAAAUUAUUAAAUUUCGCCAUAAUUGAAAUCAAAUUGGUCAAAAUUACAAUGAAUUGGCCAAUCAA